CACGCCCCCUCCCUCCCCUCUACGACGGUGGCCCUCGCCCCCCACCACCUGUGCCCUGCCUGUCCCCCACCGCUGUCACUGUGUGCCAGGGCUGGCAGGGAGGAGGAGGCGGAGGCAGGCGGGGGAAGGAUGGAGGGAGGAGCACUCCAGUGAUGCUUCAUGCUCACAGCUCCAGCCCUCCCGAGAGCCCAACCUGGCGAGCCCCUUCCUCUCCCUCCACCGUUCCCGGCUGCCGGUGGUGAAGGAUGCUCGGAGCAUCGCUUGCUGCCGCGACGUGCUGACAGCGGGGACCCCGCCGGGAGCGGGCUGCCGUCCUGCCGGGCCUGAGUCCGUGUCACCGGGCCAGCAGGGCUCUGCAGAAGCAUGAAGAAGAUUUGGGUGAAGAAGCGUUUCCAGAAGACUGGCCACUCGCGGCGCUUCGGGCGCUUCACGCAUGGUGCGUUGAGUUACCAGGACCCGACUCCCCCCACUGCCCCAAGCGUGCUGGGAUGGGCCCACCACCAUGCUGCAAGGGGCAGCGAGCAGAGGCUGGGCAGGGCUGGAUUUCAUCUUGCCAGCCACAAAAUAGGGUCCUGGUCAGCCAGGAGCUCACAGUGUCCUCCAUGCAGCUGGUCUGCUCCUGGCCUUGCAGCUGUACUUGCUCAGGGGCUGACAGACUGUUGUGGCUACGAUUGGGAAUCUGAUGCACUAGCAGUGCAUGAAGCAGUUGGUCGUGUGCUGGGCUGCAGAGGGGUGGAUUGGAGUGGGGCGAAGCAGUGUGGUCCCCUGCACACCUUAAGAAUGCAAUGGAGAGGAGCAGUGGUGGGGCUGGGGACACGUUUCUCACGGCAGGGGUUGUUUCUGCAGCUUGUGAAGGCUUGAGCAAUGGCAAGGAGGAAAGUCAGUCCUCUCCUGGCAGCAUGGCACUAGUUUUCCUGGAAUGGGACGUUAGGGUGAUACUGAAAUGGCCUUGCCACAUCCUGCCUGGUGGGGGUCAGCUCUUAGUGAUGCCCUGCCCUGAGAAUUUUGGCUUUAUCAACCGUAGCUGUGUUGUGGAGCACAGCUGUAUUGUACAGCACUUGCACUCGUGGGGCAGAGGAUGGACUUGUACAUGCCAGGGGGAGGCUGUGUGCACAUGGACACGUGUCCGUGUGCUCCAGAUCCCCAGGAGUGCCUAGCUGGGGCACAGACUGGGAGGGUCCAGCCCCAGGCUGAAAUGCACUGCAAAGCACAGCAGCAUGUAUGAAUACUGCAGCGGUGAGGCCAGCAGCUCCAGGGAUAGGGGGUGGCUGUCCUGCUGGGCAGGAUAUGGCUGUGGCACAGGGAGGGGAAUGGUGCUGUGCACUGCACAGGUGGGACUGUGUGCAAGGAGAGGGUCUGUGUGCAGUGCUGGAAUGGUGUGCAGUGAAUGGGAUGCAGAGUGGAGACAUGGUGGGGAAGUGCUGGGGACAAGGGCCCCCCCGGCUGCCCCCCGCGUCUCCGCAGGCCGGGCCGAUAACCGGGUGUUGAUGUCUCUCUCUCUCUUGCUGCCCCUAUGGAAGCGAAGUUUUCCGCUCCUGCAGGAAACAAAGCUACGGUAGGAAGACACCUUCCCAGUGCCAUCACUGUCCCCAUAGUGGACCCUGUGCCCCAGCCUGGCGCCCUGCUCUGUCACUUCUAUUGUCCCCUUGCUCUGCUUUUUUUGUCCCCAUGCCACCUCUGCCAUCUGCGUUCCCACUGCUGGCACUGCCUCCCUUCCUCCUGUCAUUUAACAGUGUUCCUGCCUGCCCUUGCCCUGCUGGACUUUCCCACUCCUGGUCCUGCCUUUUCCUACUGGCAGCUUGUCCCUGCAGGUCACAGUCAUGCCUCCUGCCCUGAAGCUGCCUGGGCACUGCUCUCGUGC
rnacentral:lncRNA from 1 species